GAUGAAGAACGCAGCGAAAUGCGAUAAGUAAUGUGAAUUGCAGAAUUCAGUGAAUCAUCGAGUCUUUGAACGCACAUUGCGCCCCCUGGUAUUCCGGGGGGCAUGCCUGUCCGAGCGUCAUUGCUGCCCUCAAGCACGGCUUGUGUGUUGGGCCUCCGUCCUCCUCCCGGGGGACGGGCCCGGAAGGCAGCGGCGGCACCGCGUCCGGUCCUCGAGCGUAUGGGGCUUCGUCACCCGCUCUUGUAGGCCCGGCCGGCGCUUGCCGACACAUCAAUCUUUUUUCCAGGUUGACCUCGGAUCAGGUAGGGAUACCCGCUGAACUUAAGCAUAUCAAUAAGCGGAGGA
rnacentral:misc_RNA from 1 species